rnacentral:rRNA from 1 species
UACGAAGGGGGCUAGCGUUGCUCGGAAUCACUGGGCGUAAAGCGCACGUAGGCGGAUUGUUAAGUCAGGGGUGAAAUCCUGGAGCUCAACUCCAGAACUGCCUUUGAUACUGGGGAUCUCGAGUCCGGAAGAGGUGAGUGGAACUGCGAGUGUAGAGGUGAAAUUCGUAGAUAUUCGCAAGAACACCAGUGGCGAAGGCGGCUCACUGGCCCGGAACUGACGCUGAGGUGCGAAAGCGUGGGGAGCAAACAGG